rnacentral:rRNA from 1 species
GUGAGUGAAGAAGGCCUUCGGGUUGUAAAGCUCUUUCGCAAGGGAAGAAACGAUUUAGACGAAUAAUCUAAGUUAAUGACGGUACCUUGAUAAGAAGCACCGGCUAACUACGUGCCAGCAGCCGCGGUAAUACGUAGGGUGCGAGCGUUAAUCGGAAUUACUGGGCGUAAAGCGAGCGCAGGCGGUUCUGUAAGUCAGAUGUGAAAUCCCCGGGCUCAACCUGGGAACUGCGUUUGAAACUACAGGGCUAGAGUAUGGGAGAGGGGGGUAGAAUUCCACGUGUAGCAGUGAAAUGCGUAGAGAUGUGGAGGAAUACCAAUGGCGAAGGCAGCCCCCUGGCCUAAUACUGACGCUCAUGCUCGAAAGCGUGGGGAGCAAACAGGAUUAGAUACCCUGGUAGUCCACGCCCUAAACGAUGUCUACUAGUUGUUGGUGGAGUAAAAUCCAUUAGUAACGCAGCUAACGCGUGAAGUAGACCGCCUGGGGAGUACGGUCGCAA